UACGGGGGGGGCAAGCGUUGUUCGGAAUUACUGGGCGUAAAGGGCUCGUAGGUGGCCAACUAAGUCAGACGCGAAAUCCCUCGGCUUAACCGGGGAACUGCGUCUGAUACUGGAUGGCUUGAGAUUGGGAGAGGGAUGCGGAAUUCCAGGUGUAGCGGUGAAAUGCGUAGAUAUCUGGAGGAACACCGGUGGCGAAGGCGGCAUCCUGGACCAACACUGACACUGAGGAGCGAAAGCCAGGGGAGCAAACGGG
rnacentral:rRNA from 1 species